GCUUUAAAAGUUCUUGAGUAACAAUUAGUCUUGUAAACUAAAAAGCUAGGUUUAAUUCCUAUUUAAAGCA
rnacentral:tRNA from 1 species